GACGUGCUAAUCUGCGAUAAGCGUCGGUAAGGUGAUAUGAACCGUUAUAACCGGCGAUUUCCGAAUGGGGAAACCCAGUGUGAUUCGUCACACUAUCAUUAACUGAAUCCAUAGGUUAAUGAGGCGAACCGGGGGAACUGAAACAUCUAAGUACCCCGAGGAAAAGAAAUCAACCGAGAUUCCCCCAGUAGCGGCGAGCGAACGGGGAGCAGCCCAGAGCCUGAAUCAGUGUGUGUGUUAGUGGAAGCGUCUGGAAAGGCGUGCGAUACAGGGUGACAGCCCCGUACACAAAAAUGCACAUACUGUGAGCUCGAUGAGUAGGGCGGGACACGUGGUAUCCUGUCUGAAUAUGGGGGGACCAUCCUCCAAGGCUAAAUACUCCUGACUGACCGAUAGUGAACCAGUACCGUGAGGGAAAGGCGAAAAGAACCCCGGCGAGGGGAGUGAAAAAGAACCUGAAACCGUGUACGUACAAGCAGUGGGAGCACGCUUAGGCGUGUGACUGCGUACCUUUUGUAUAAUGGGUCAGCGACUUAUAUUCUGUAGCAAGGUUAACCGAAUAGGGGAGCCGAAGGGAAACCGAGUCUUAACUGGGCGUUAAGUUGCAGGGUAUAGACCCGAAACCCGGUGAUCUAGCCAUGGGCAGGUUGAAGGUUGGGUAACACUAACUGGAGGACCGAACCGACUAAUGUUGAAAAAUUAGCGGAUGACUUGUGGCUGGGGGUGAAAGGCCAAUCAAACCGGGAGAUAGCUGGUUCUCCCCGAAAGCUAUUUAGGUAGCGCCUCGUGAAUUCAUCUCCGGGGGUAGAGCACUGUUUCGGCAAGGGGGUCAUCCCGACUUACCAACCCGAUGCAAACUGCGAAUACCGGAGAAUGUUAUCACGGGAGACACACGGCGGGUGCUAACGUCCGUCGUGAAGAGGGAAACAACCCAGACCGCCAGCUAAGGUCCCAAAGUCAUGGUUAAGUGGGAAACGAUGUGGGAAGGCCCAGACAGCCAGGAUGUUGGCUUAGAAGCAGCCAUCAUUUAAAGAAAGCGUAAUAGCUCACUGGUCGAGUCGGCCUGCGCGGAAGAUGUAACGGGGCUAAACCAUGCACCGAAGCUGCGGCAGCGACGCUUAUGCGUUGUUGGGUAGGGGAGCGUUCUGUAAGCCUGUGAAGGUGUGCUGUGAGGUAUGCUGGAGGUAUCAGAAGUGCGAAUGCUGACAUAAGUAACGAUAAAGCGGGUGAAAAGCCCGCUCGCCGGAAGACCAAGGGUUCCUGUCCAACGUUAAUCGGGGCAGGGUGAGUCGACCCCUAAGGCGAGGCCGAAAGGCGUAGUCGAUGGGAAACAGGUUAAUAUUCCUGUACUUGGUGUUACUGCGAAGGGGGGACGGAGAAGGCUAUGUUGGCCGGGCGACGGUUGUCCCGGUUUAAGCGUGUAGGCUGGUUUUCCAGGCAAAUCCGGAAAAUCAAGGCCGAGGCGUGAUGACGAGGCACUACGGUGCUGAAGCAACAAAUGCCCUGCUUCCAGGAAAAGCCUCUAAGCAUCAGGUAACAUCAAAUCGUACCCCAAACCGACACAGGUGGUCAGGUAGAGAAUACCAAGGCGCUUGAGAGAACUCGGGUGAAGGAACUAGGCAAAAUGGUGCCGUAACUUCGGGAGAAGGCACGCUGAUACGUAGGUGAAGCGACUUGCUCGUGGAGCUGAAAUCAGUCGAAGAUACCAGCUGGCUGCAACUGUUUAUUAAAAACACAGCACUGUGCAAACACGAAAGUGGACGUAUACGGUGUGACGCCUGCCCGGUGCCGGAAGGUUAAUUGAUGGGGUUAGCGCAAGCGAAGCUCUUGAUCGAAGCCCCGGUAAACGGCGGCCGUAACUAUAACGGUCCUAAGGUAGCGAAAUUCCUUGUCGGGUAAGUUCCGACCUGCACGAAUGGCGUAAUGAUGGCCAGGCUGUCUCCACCCGAGACUCAGUGAAAUUGAACUCGCUGUGAAGAUGCAGUGUACCCGCGGCAAGACGGAAAGACCCCGUGAACCUUUACUAUAGCUUGACACUGAACAUUGAGCCUUGAUGUGUAGGAUAGGUGGGAGGCUUUGAAGUGUGGACGCCAGUCUGCAUGGAGCCGACCUUGAAAUACCACCCUUUAAUGUUUGAUGUUCUAACGUGGACCCGUGAUCCGGGUUGCGGACAGUGUCUGGUGGGUAGUUUGACUGGGGCGGUCUCCUCCUAAAGAGUAACGGAGGAGCACGAAGGUUGGCUAAUCCUGGUCGGACAUCAGGAGGUUAGUGCAAUGGCAUAAGCCAGCUUGACUGCGAGCGUGACGGCGCGAGCAGGUGCGAAAGCAGGUCAUAGUGAUCCGGUGGUUCUGAAUGGAAGGGCCAUCGCUCAACGGAUAAAAGGUACUCCGGGGAUAACAGGCUGAUACCGCCCAAGAGUUCAUAUCGACGGCGGUGUUUGGCACCUCGAUGUCGGCUCAUCACAUCCUGGGGCUGAAGUAGGUCCCAAGGGUAUGGCUGUUCGCCAUUUAAAGUGGUACGCGAGCUGGGUUUAGAACGUCGUGAGACAGUUCGGUCCCUAUCUGCCG
rnacentral:rRNA from 1 species